AUACGGAGGGGGCUAGCGUUGUUCGGAAUUACUGGGCGUAAAGCGUACGCAGGCGGAUAUUUAAGUUAGGUGUGAAAUCCCAGGGCUCAACCCUGGAACUGCACUUAAAACUGGGUAUCUAGAGUUAUGGAGAGGUAAGUGGAAUUCCUAGUGUAGAGGUGAAAUUCGUAGAUAUUAGGAGGAACACCAGAGGCGAAGGCGGCUUACUGGACAUAUACUGACGCUGAGGUACGAAAGUGUGGGGAGCAAACGGGAUUAGAAACCCCAGUAGUCC
rnacentral:rRNA from 1 species